GUACUGCAGUCUGUAUGGCGGCCACUCUCAUGAUAUCAUAGAUGACGUCAACAGUGCUAAGAUGGAAUGCUCAUCUGCCUAAGAAGCAACAAGAGAAAAUACUUCAACAAAAGAUCAUCUGAUGGCCAAAAACACUCUCUCUCAACGCCCUCCAGCUGCUGUGUUUGCUUCAGUGAUACAGCAAAACAGAUGUGCAUCAUUCUCUGGGACGGUUCCUGUAAGCCACUGCACCAAUAGGCACAUGCUGUCCCUCUUCGACUGUUGCCAGAGAAAGACGGCCCCUGCUUCUCUCUGAGAUGUACCCAUUUGCUCUGCUCAUUCAUCUUGACUGCUCACGGCGGAAGGAUAGCCACAUGCUGCUUUCACAUCAGUACGGAACGGAAUUUCUGCUUUGCGUAGCAAAUCGCAUGGCGCCACGCAGCUCUGCAGCCAGGACUAUCGUAAGGAGGGCAGCAAAGACGGUGGAAUACAUCCUUUGAAAAAAAGGAAUGAUUCAUGACUGCUAGGUGUGCCCGCCUUUCACCCCUCCACACAGGCCACAGCUAAAGCCCCAGGGAGCUCGGGGUUUCCACGUCCUCUGGUUCAAAACACCUUAGCUUUGCUGUUACUACCGUUUCUGUAUAAUAGUCCUCAGCGUUUCACUUACGAGACAAUCCCAUGCCAAACCAUCUUGUCUAGGAAGACAAGUUUUGCUUUCAAGUCUGAUGCUUACUGAAAGUGAGCAAGACAGGUUGGAAGCUCGCUCCUCUAAGUCUCCUUUCC